rnacentral:rRNA from 1 species
AACGAACGCUGGCGGCAGGCUUAACACAUGCAAGUCGAACGGAUGUAGCAAUACAUCAGUGGCAGACGGGUGAGGAACACGUGGGAAUAUUCCUUUCAGUUCGGAAUAACGUUGGGAAACUAACGCUAAUACCGGAUACGUCCUUCGGGAGAAAGAUUUAUCGCUGAAAGAUUAGCCCGCGUCUGAUUAGCUAGUUGGUGAGGUAAUGGCUCACCAAGGCGACGAUCAGUAGCUGGUCUGAGAGGAUGAUCAGCCACAUUGGGACUGGGACACGGCCCAAACUCCUACGGGAGGCAGCAGUCGGGAAUAUUGGACAAUGGGGGCAACCCUGAUCCAGCAAUACCGCGUGUGUGAAGAAGGCCUGCGGGUUGUAAAGCACUUUUAGUGGGGAAGAUAAUGACGUUACCCACAGAAACAGCACCGGCUAACUCCGUGCCAGCAGCCGCCGUAA